AAAAACCCAGGUGGUGUGAGAUGGAUCCGCGUCUGAUUAGCCAGUUGGCGGGGUAACGGCCCACCAAAGCGACGAUCAGUAGCCGACCUGAGAGGGUGACCGGCCACAUUGGGACUGAGACACGGCCCAAACUCCUACGGGAGGCAGCAGUGGGGAAUAUUGCACAAUGGGCGAAAGCCUGAUGCAGCGACGCCGCGUGAGUGAAGAAGUAUCUCGGUAUGUAAAGCUCUAUCAGCAGGGAAGAAAAUGACGGUACCUGACUAAGAAGCCCCGGCUAACUACGUGCCAGCAGCCGCGGUAAUACGUAGGGGGCAAGCGUUAUCCGGAUUUACUGGGUGUAAAGGGAGCGUAGACGGCGACGCAAGUCUGGAGUGAAAGCCCGGGGCCCAACCCCGGGACUGCUUUGGAAACUGUGCUGCUGGAGUGCAGGAGAGGUAAGUGGAAUUCCUAGUGUAGCGGUGAAAUGCGUAGAUAUUAGGAGGAACACCAGUGGCGAAGGCGGCUUACUGGACUGUAACUGACGUUGAGGCUCGAAAGCGUGGGGAGCAAACAGGAUUAGAUACCCUGGUAGUCCACGCCGUAAA
rnacentral:rRNA from 1 species